GACGAACGCUGGCGGCGUGCUUAACACAUGCAAGUCGAACGGAAAGGCCCUGCUUGCAGGGUACUCGAGUGGCGAACGGGUGAGUAACACGUGGGUGAUCUGCCCUGCACUUCGGGAUAAGCUUGGGAAACUGGGUCUAAUACCGGAUAGGAACCAUCUUUAGUGUGGUGGUUGGAAAGUUUUUUCGGUGUAGGAUGAGCUCGCGGCCUAUCAGCUUGUUGGUGGGGUAAUGGCCUACCAAGGCGGCGACGGGUAGCCGGCCUGAGAGGGUGUACGGCCACAUUGGGACUGAGAGACGGCCCAGAGUCCGACGGGAGGCAGCAGUGGGGAAUAUUGCACAAUGGGCGCAAGCCUGAUGCAGCGACGCCGCGUGGGGGAUGAAGGCCUUCGGGUUGUAAACUCCGUUCGCUAGGGACGAAGCGUUGUUGUGACGGUACCUAGAGAAGAAGCACCGGCUAACUACGUG
rnacentral:rRNA from 1 species